rnacentral:rRNA from 1 species
UAUUUUCCUUUUUUUCCCUCCGCCGCGGUAAUACGGAGGAUCCGAGCGUUAUCCGGAUUUAUUGGGUUUAAAGGGAGCGUAGGCGGCGGAGCAAGUCAGAAGUGAAAGCCCGGGGCUCAACCCCGGGACGGCUUUUGAAACUGCCCUGCUUGAUUUCAGGAGAGGUAAGCGGAAUUCCUAGUGUAGCGGUGAAAUGCGUAGAUAUUAGGAGGAACACCAGUGGCGAAGGCGGCUUACUGGACUGACAAUGACGCUGAGGCUCGAAAGCGUGGGGAGCAAACAGG